rnacentral:rRNA from 1 species
AUGGACAGAAAGGCAAAGAUGUUAAUUUAUGCGGCUGCGGCACAAUGGUUUAUCAACAUGAUAACAUUGGUUGUUCAAUCCAGAAAAAGAAAAAGGAGAGAAGCAAUUACGUAUGCCCCAAUUGAUGAGAGAGAUAGGAUGAGAAGAGAGUAUUUUGACAACAAAAUAUGGAAGAAUGACACAACUUGCGUGAACAUGCUUAGACUUCGGAGAGUACCUUUCUUUAGGUUUUGUUAA